rnacentral:rRNA from 1 species
AGAGAUUGAACUGAAGAGUUUGAUCCUGGCUCAGAUUGAACGCUGGCGGAAUGCUUUACACAUGCAAGUCGAACGGCAGCACGGGUGCUU